CAGGCCCUCUUUCUAGGACUCGUCCAAAUUGGAGACUUUAAUCGCUGGAGCGGAGAUCCAUGGAUCUGGAUCUGGAUGCAUCUCUUCUCCCGUCGGUCGGCGACGAACCCUAGCUAGCGUGUCUCCACCGGCUUCCCUAAAAAAAAAAAAAACUCGUGUCAGUCCGGGUGCGAGAGGCCACCGGCGGCGCUCUAGACUAAUCGGAUCGGAUCUGAGCGAAUCCCGCCGCCGCGCCCGUCUCGCAUGCCGUGGCCGAUGACCGCGUCGGCCGGGGCCCGUCCCUGCCCAAACGGCGGCGAUGAUGGAUGGAGCCGCCGGCGCCGGCCAGGCUCCCGACCUGCGGACGCGCCGGGUCGCCGCUCCUCGGGGCCAGCCCCUCCCGCCGCGGCGGAUCGCGCAUCGGCUUGGAGGCCCCUCGGGGCUGCCGCCGGUGCGGGAGGCCUCCGCGGCGCGGGCUGGGGAGUGGGGACCGAGCGGCGGGGCCCGUGAGGCGUUCCGGUCGAGGGAUUGGUCGGGCCGGUGCGGGAUCUGAGCCGCCGUCCAUGGAUUUCUCGCAGCUUGGCUGCGUUUCGCUUUCGAUUCGAGUCCACACCAGUGAACCCUAACCCGAAACCGGAUCAGGCGAGCUCUCGUUGCCGGAUCGCUGACCCGUCGUCCUGGUGGCCGCUGCGUCAGUUCCACACCGCUACGGCGCCGCUAGCCAUUGCCGUUCCCUUGCCUUGGAUUCGGUUGUGGCGUGGGCUGGAGCCGUACUCUGUUGUCUGAUGCGUCGUUCAAGCGGGGGGUUUGGUCAGUCGAGGCCAGGCAUGAGCAGCUCCUGAGCAGGAUGGAUGGAUGGAAGGAUGGAUGCGUUCAUGUGUCGUGAACUAAAACCACGACUCCUAUUUUUGAACGGAGGGAGUAUGAAUGUAUGGAUAUCAUGGUCAUGUUGCUUGCUGUGUAGAGCCCGGAGGUGGGUUGAGAAAAAAAGAGGGGCAAUGAUGAUGAUGACGACGACGACGAUGGCUGAAAUAACCAUGUCUUGAGCAAUCAAGGCAGCUGUGGUGUGGUGGUACUAAACAGAGCUGAAAAAAAUAUCGGUGUCUGCGUUGGAGUUGGCCUUGGAGCCCACCCUUGCCUCUCUUGCAGCCUGUCUAAUUCAUCGCUGAUGUUGGAUGCUUUGUGCCUCGGGCGGUCAUUCUGUUGAGUGAUAACCAUGGCAGUUCUCUUGCAUCGUGAUGGGUAGAUUAUGCAGCAAGAAAUGUGGGGGUUGGGCUUGAAGAUGGAAGACAAAACUAACCCUAAACCGAAUCAGGCGAGCUCUCGUUGCCGGAUCGCCGGCCAAUCAUCCGGUUGGCCGCCACGUCAGUUUCGCACCCCUGCGGUGCUGCCAGCCACCGCCGUUCCAUUGCCUUGGAUUUGGCUGUGGCGUGGGCUGGGAACCGUACGGUGUUUGUCUGACGAGCCGUCCGCACGGGGGGUUUGGUCGGUCGACUCCAGGUAUGAGCAGCUCCUGAGCUUGAUGGCUGGAUGUGUGCACACAUGUAAUGGAGUAUCAUGGUCAUGUUGCUUGGUGUGCCGAGGCAACCUCAUUUUUGGACCAAAAAGAGGGGCGAUGACGACGACGACGACGAUGAUGAUGACUGUGGCUGAAAUAAUGAUGUCUUGAGCAAUCGAGACAGCCUUUGUUUGUGGGACUAAACUGAGCUGAAAAAGUCGGUGUCACCACCCUUGCCUCUGUUGCAGCCUGCUCAAUUUUUCGCCGAUGUUGGAUGAUCUGUCCCUUGGACGGUCGUUCUGAUGAGUGACAACCAGGGCAGUUCUCUUACACUGCGAUGGGUAGAUCAUGCAGCAAGAGAUGUGGGUGUUGGGUUUGAAGAUGAAUGACAAAGCUGAGCCCUCUUUUGCUACGCUACAUACACUGAAUUUUCACUGUUCAGUUGCAUUUUGUUUUGGAUUCGGUGUGAAUCCUCCUCCUCCUCUCUCUCUCUCUCUCUCUCUCUCUCUAUAUAUAUAUAUAUAUAUAUAUAUAUAUAUAUAUAUAUAUAUAUAUAUAUCCUACAACAAAUCAGUCAAGCUGUCAUUGCCUACUUGCUGACCCAUGGUCCGGGUGGACUAACGCUAUGGUGCCGUCAGCCACCGCCAUUCCAUUGCCUUGGAUUCGGUUGUGGCGUGGGCUGGGAACCAUACAGUGUUGUCUGAUGCGUCGUCCGAGCCGGAGGUCUGGUACUCUGGUCGGCUGAUGCCAGACAUGAGCAACUCCUGAGAGCAUGGUUAAUAGUACAGCCAACUUCUGGCAUGCAUGCAUGUUUGUAUGGAUGCAUGUAUGUAUGGAUGUAUGGAUACUAUGGUCAUGUUGCUGCCGAAAUCACUGUUUUGACCUUUUUGUAAAGGUUCGCACAAAUGAACCAUGUCCGAAACUUCAGUACAAUCUAACCCCCUGUAUCCAUCGAUCCAUCCAUCUAUCCAUCGACCCAUCCAUCCAUCUAUCUGUCUAUCUAUUUGAGGCGAUGAUGAUAAAACAUGGCUGACAUAAACUUGUCUUCGAUUAUUCGAGGAGCUGUGGGCUUCAAAAACCUACUCUCCCCUCUUUUGGCACCUUAUCAUUCUCACCGAAUAUUGACGGCUCUGUCUUGGAUGGUCAUUCUGCUGAGUGAUAACCAGAGGAGCUCGACCUCAGUGGUGGGGGUUGAUCUGGUGAAAGAAGAUGGAGCCAGGUUGUAUGAUCUAUCAAAGGCGAAUCUGAGCCCUCUCAAAUCUCAAUGCAA